rnacentral:rRNA from 1 species
UACAGAGGUGGCAAGCGUUGUUCGGAAUUACUGGGCGUAAAGGGCGCGUAGGCGGCCUUGUCAGUCAGACGUGAAAUCCCCAGGCUUAACCUGGGAACUGCGUCUGAUACUACAAGGCUUGAGUGCGGGAGAGGGAUGUGGAAUUCCAGGUGUAGCGGUGAAAUGCGCAGAUAUCAGGAAGAACACCAAUGGCGAAGGCAGCUCUCUGGGACGGUACUGACGCUGAGACGCGAAAGCGUGGGGAGCGAACAGG